UAUAUCACUCGAGGGGCGUCCGAAUCCCCACUAGGUCUCAGUUAUUGACCCGUGCCGCCGCAGUGCGCGCGCACCCACAAGAAAAGUCUAGCAAUCCUAGCCUAGCUCUCCACUGCAAUGCCUGCGCCCUGCGACUCUUGCAAAGAUACGUGUGGAGGGGGGAAGGCCGCGUGCGGUGCGGGCUGCACGUGCGGCCCAAACUGCGCCUGCGGCGAUGGCAAGUCCUCCGGAGACAAGCCCUGCUGCCAGGGGGGUAAGAAGUGAGCCGACAUGACCCGACGCUACUCUACCAAGCUGUUACUCUACACUACUCUAUUCUAUUCUAGAUGUAUAUUCUACUGUAGCCGUGCUACUUAAGAAAUAUGUAGUUGUCAUUAUUAAAUUCUAUAUUUUACUAUAAGGAAAGUAAUAUUGUGUCGUCAUGAAAUAAAAAUUAUAUAUAGGUGAUAUUUAGAUUUAUAUUUAUCUUUAUCUUACUAUUACUAAAUUAUUAUAUUUAUAUAUUAUAUUAGCUUACUUAGGUUAGAUGAUUCGUCUCUGCUUGGCGGUAAAGGCUAUGUUAUAGGUAUAGUUAAUGUAGUUUCGUCACAUUCAGUGUUUGGUGUUUAAUAUAAUAUGUCUCUAUAACAGAGUUAGUACUUGUAAUACUCAUUAAAGUAAGUUGAAGUAUGUGAGCACGCACACACGCAUAGUUAUUGAAUUAUUAUAGAUGUAAGCCAGAA